ensembl:lncRNA
CCGUUUCAUAAUGGAGUUAUUGUUACUUGCUAUUUGGAAAAAGUAGCAAAUUAUCCCGCUGCGUGAAUAUACGAGUGCUUUGUAGGACAUCUCAGCUAUUUUCCAUUUUUACAAAAUGUGUCAAACAGUUUGUUUUUUAACUACCAUGCGUGCUUUGGAAAUGUUCCUGGAUGUAGAGUUCAGCUAAAGGAGGGCACUGGAUCAUGAAUUACUGCUUAGUGACCAAAAUCUAAGUUGUAUUGUUGUUUUUAUUUUUUAUUUUUUGAAUUAUUUAAUAAUAAAAUGCUAAUUUAAUUGGUAAUUCUGACAUCUUUCACACAUCCCAAGAACUUUUCAGGGACUGCACCUGUAUAAAGAAUGAUAAAGUGUUUUAAUAAAGUUUGAAUAAGUGAUUUAAGGUGUUCAGUUAGGUUGAGAUCUGAUGGCUGCAAAGAGCAUAUAUAAUUCACAGCUCAGUUUUAUAUUCAUCAAACAGUUCUUUGACGCUCUUCCCUUUGGAUCUCUCAGAAUCUCUUCUAAGGGGACAACUGCACUGAAACCAGGCUUGAUAUCAUAAGGUGGCACAUUCACAUUUUUUCCCUUUAAAUUAGUCUGAAUGAGUUUGAAACUUCUUUUUGUUUGAGCUUUGUUCCUUGGGACAACCUUUAUAAAGUAUAGAUCUGAUGCAGUACAUUGUUUUGGGGAAGAAAAACAUGCAAUAUAAUGUGUGUUUUAAUCAAGUUUCAUUCAAUACUGUAGAUACAUGUUUGCUAUUAGAUGUUUUCUGUUCUGUUAGCUUGUCGUUUCCACUGCUGUUCCAUCAUGUUAGUGUUUUCCUUUUUGUUUUUUGUGCGCAUUUUGUCUUUUUCCCCCAUCUCCAUUGGGUUUUAUUUAAUGUCUGUUGUGUGUGUGUGUGUUUUUUUUUUUUAAUUCUUUAUUUUUGCUAGGCCACUGUAGAUGACUAUAUACUAGACCAGAAAUAGUAAUAGUAAAUUUCAUUCACUAAAACUGAAGCACAAGCUUGUAUAUGAAUGUGGUAUAUUAUAUUGCCUUCUCUGGUACAAAGAAAGGCCAUAUUAUACUAUAUACAUUUAAUAAACAUGCACCAAAACCAUAAAAACUUAAGUUUCAUAAGUCAGAGCACCUGUGAAAACUAUCUACAGAGGCCAAGCCUGUUUUGUUUUUAGUUUUCUUUUCUAUCAGGAUAAAAACAUGCAUUUAAAUGCCAUGAAGUUAUUAUGUUGGGCAUUUUAAUAUGGGAAGCGGCCUCUAGAGUCUGUCUUAAGUAGACAUUCGAUGAAC